UCCGAAUGUGUAGGACGGCUCUGGCUGUCCUCAACCCGGCUGAUGCGUGUGCCAUUUUUUCUUCUUUCUUCUCUUUUUUGACUGCCAUCUCCGUUGCUGGAUGUACAGCCAUGGUAUUCCUUCUAGUAAAGAAAUUGGAAUUGAAGAUUCAACUAAAUAGAUCCAUAUACCUAACACCUGCCGAAAAUUAAUGAUGUUCUACAACUUGAAAACUUCGAGAAGUCUUCGUGUGCACGUGUCUUCGUGUUCAUCUUUCCUGAUGAUUUAAGAAUUCGCCUUGUUCCUUUUCGAAAAAUAUAUUGGUAUAGCGAGCUAACUCAAUUCCUGCCGUUAAAUUUUGACUGUUGUUUUUCACCGAGACUUUGUUUUACGUUGAUGGAAUGAGAUCUACUUUGAUUGGAAUGCAACUCGUAAGAGAAGUUCCGAUUCAAAAUUGUAGGACUGAUAUUCGUCUGUCUGGAUAAUUGCUUAAAUUAUGCUAAUACUUAUUCAAAAUUUAAUGGUGUGAAAGAUAUAAGAAAUAUUAAUUGAUUUGUGUUAUUUGAAUUGUCAUCCUUUGGGAUUUUCCUUCCCUGCAAUGUAUCCUACAACUGCAGUAUGAAAAAUGUGAUUGUAAAGGAAUCCAGUGAACAAUUCGGAGCUCCCAUAAUUGUAGAAUGUUAAAUCAUUAUACGGUAUGUGCCUGUUUAUUUUGAUAUUUCAGCCAAAAAUGUUAACGUUGAUGACAGCCACUGCCCAAAUGAAACAAAUUGUAACUGUAAACCUUUAAUGUCUUCAAUAAAGGUUAGUUUAAUUU